rnacentral:rRNA from 1 species
UACGUAGGUGGCAAGCGUUGUCCGGAUUUACUGGGCGUAAAGAGCGCGCAGGCGGUCGUUCAAGUCGCGUGUGAAAGCCCCCGGCUCAACUGGGGAGGGUCACGCGAUACUGAUCGACUCGAAGGCAGGAGAGGGUAGUGGAAUUCCCGGUGUAGUGGUGAAAUGCGUAGAUAUCGGGAGGAACGCCGGUGGCGAAAGCGACACACUGGACCUCUUCUGACGCUGAGGCGCGAAAGCUAGGGGAGCAAACGGG